rnacentral:sRNA from 1 species
UCUAAAACAAUUAUUAUAUAUUAUAUUUUUACUAUUUUAUAAUAAUUCUUGUAAUAUUGGGUUA